rnacentral:rRNA from 1 species
UGAGAGGGCGGACGGCCACAUUGGGACUGAGACACGGCCCAAACUCCUACGGGAGGCAGCAGUAGGGAAUUUCGUCAAUGGGGGGAACCCUGAACGAGCAAUGCCGCGUGAGUGAGGAAGGUCUUCGGAUCGUAAAGCUCUGUUGUAAGAGAGAAACGGCACUCAUAGGGAAUGAUGAGUGAGUGACGGUAUCUUACCAGAAAGUCACGGCUAACUACGUGCCAGCAGCCGCGGUAAUACGUAGGUGGCGAGCGUUAUCCGGAAUGAUUGGGCGUAAAGGGUGCGUAGGUGGCAGAUCAAGUCUGGAGUAAAAGGUAUGGGCUCAACCCGUACUGGCUCUGGAAACUGAUCAGCUAGAGAACAGAAGAGGACGGCGGAACUCCAUGUGUAGCGGUAAAAUGCGUAGAUAUAUGGAAGAACACCGGUGGCGAAGGCGGCCGUCUGGUCUGGAUUCUGACACUGAAGCACGAAAGCGUGGGGAGCAAAUAGGAUUAGAUACCCUAGUGGUCCACGCCGUAAACGAUGAGAACUAGGUGUUGGGGGAAUAACUCAGUGCCGCAGUUAACGCAGUAAGUUCUCCGCCUGGGGAGUAUGCACGCAAGUGUGCAACUCAAAUGAAUUGACGGA